GUCUCCGUAGUUGACCUGCGGAGAAUCAUAU
rnacentral:rRNA from 1 species